CAGAGGAGCCAAGCGUUGUCCGGAUUGACUGGGCGUAAAGCGCACGCAGGCGGUUUGGCGCGUGGGGUGUGAAAUCUGGCCGCUUAACGGCCAGGCGCCAUCCUAUACGGCCGGACUGGAGGGCUGCAGAGGUCGAUGGAAUUGCCGGUGUAGUGGUGAAAUGCGUAGAGAUCGGCAGGAACACCCAGGGGGAAACCAGUCGACUGGGCAGCACCUGACGCUGAGGUGCGAGAGCGUGGGGAGCGAACCGGAUUAGAUACCCGGGUAGUCCACGCCGUAAACGAUGGCCACUCGGCCGUUUGGGGGCGGAACACCGUCUCUGGGGGCCUUAGCAAACGCGGGAAGUGGCCCGCCUGGGAACUACGAGCGCAAGCUUA
rnacentral:rRNA from 1 species